UGGGGAAUCUUGCACAAUGGGCGAAAGCCUGAUGCAGCCAUGCCGCGUGAAUGAUGAAGGCCUUAUGGUUGUAAAAUUCUUUCGCUAGGGACGAUAAUGACGGUACCUAGUAAAGAAGCCCGGCUAGCUUACUGUGCCAGCAGCCGCGGUAAUACGAAGGGGCGUAGCGUUGUUCGGAAUUACUGGGCGUAAAGCGCGCGUAGGCGGACUAUCAAGUUGGAUGUGAAAUCCCAGGGCUCAACUCUGGAACUGCAUUCAAAACUGGUAGUCUAGAGGCCAGGAGAGGUCAGUGGAAUACCGAGUGUAGAGGUGAAAUUCGUAGAUAUUCGGUGGAACACCAGUGGCGAAGGCGACUGACUUGGACUGGUACUGACGCUGAGGUGCUAAAGUGUGGGAGCAAAC
rnacentral:rRNA from 1 species